rnacentral:piRNA from 1 species
CUGAGUAGAAAGUUAAAGAC